rnacentral:rRNA from 1 species
GACGAAGGGGGCUAGCGUUGUUCGGAAUUACUGGGCGUAAAGCGAGUGUAGGCGGUUGCCCAAGUCAGGUGUGAAAGCCUUGAGCUCAACUCAAGAAAUGCACUUGGUACUGGGUGGCUAGAGGACCGGAGAGGAUAGUGGAAUUCCCAGUGUAGUGGUGAAAUACGUAGAGAUUGGGAAGAACACCAGUGGCGAAGGCGGCUAAUCUGGACGGUUACUGACGCUAAGACUCGAAAGCGUGGGGAGCAAACAGGG